GUUCUCUAAAAGUUAAAAAAUAUACAAGUGUACACUUGUUAGGAAAAAAGUACUGGCCUCAGAAACUCAAAAAUUCUUUGCAUUUCGUUAUUCUGGAAGAAUCUACAUUAUCAACACACGCACUAGCAGAGGACCGCAGUAGCUCUGGUACGUGCCCCAAGGUCCUGGGUUCACUUAGGAUCAGAUGCUUUACUCCCCAUUGAGACUGUGAAUACCUCAUUUGGGGACUACAGGAGGCCCUGGUUCUCCUCACCCAAGGGAGACCAUCUAGAAGGCAUCCUAUAGUUUCUCACAGUGCAGUCAUUCAAGGCCUGUUUCCUAUUCUAUGGGCUCAGAAGCCACUCCCAACCCCAAGCCAGUGCAGAAAAACAAAAUGACGUAGAUCAGAACUAGAUUCUCCUGCUAUUCCCACAAAUAAAAUUUUUCACAAGAAUCUAAAAAAAGUGAUCGCAUAACUCUUGAAUGAGCUAAUAAUUUUCACCGCUGAGAAGUAAAUCCGAUGACUUUUCCCCCAGUUGAAGCUCACGUAUGUGUGAAGUUAUCCAGGUGGAAGGGGUGGGGAGAGAAGAAAGGGUUAAGAGAUGAAAAUAAAACAACCCUGCUUACAAGAUCCUAUUUAUGUAAAAAUUACAUUUGUGAAGGAAUGGAGGAAUCUAAAAUAUUAAAAGAAAGCUAAGAAAGUGCUUAUACAUUAUGAACACUGGCAAAGGAUCUGAACAGUUUUCAGGAGUGUAAAUACAAUUGAUCAGCAUUUUUAAAAACAUCAGUGUCUUUGGUCCACAAGACCAUUCUUUUCCCACCACGUACGCUCCGACGAGUGCAGUUACGUGAGCAUUGCCUCCACCAACAGGGCGGGAGGAGCAUAACGGAGCACUGUCCUUUGGAAAACAGCUUGGAAAUAAAUUCCUACUGUCUCAGAAAUAUCCAAACACUGGACUCAGUGAUUUUACAUUUCAGAAUCUAUCUGAAGGAACAACCUCAAAAUGUAAAGAACAGUGUGUAAACAGAAGAAUGAACUUCCAAGUUCACCAGUAUGGGCACAGCUAAAUCGUGUUCAGUAGACAUGUACCCAACAGAGUGAUGUUAGCCUUUUUGGAGGACAGACAUUAUGAAUGCUCAUCACGGAUGUGGGCAAAUGCUUAAAUCUUGCCAUAACUAGAAAAAAAGUUGGAUACAAAGUUGCAUGUGGAAUGUAUGCUUCCAAGAAAAUUUUAAUCAGAUCCUUUUGCUAGACUGCCUGUUAAAAAUUCAUCCUAGUUAUUAAAUACAACUGUUAUAUUUUUCCCUCCUGUUUUAAGCAACAGGUAAUUGCUCAGAGAGGUGCCUAGGUGAACAGGUUUUACACUUGGGCCAGGAGUAUAAUGUUUGCAUGUUGAGCUGGGUUGGCCCUAGAGAUAAUUUAUUAAUGUUCUCUGACAUUUCGGGACAUCCUUAGCUGCGAAUGCAAAUAUAUGUUGCUGCCCCAAUUCACCAAACUUUUGGUUGAUGGUCUGGGUCUCUUAGAGACUGUGUUAUAUUUAUUUUCUUCUAGGCAGUGGUGACAAUUUUCUGUCCUAGAAUGAAUUACAAGGGAAGAAGCUUCUAUCUGUGACAGAGAACCUACAUAGGUCUCAAGAGGAAACUCAGGUGAUGAAAGGGAUAAGUGCAUCUCGGGUCCCAGACAAGGGAUACAGAUUCCUCCAUAUGACCUUCCACAGGACUGUAUACCCGAUUCUCCAUUUGAUGUUCCAGGAUGAAGUCAAACAGGAGAAAAAAAGAACUGAGGUGAGGGACAGAUGAAGGCAAAAUGUUGAUAACUGUUCAAGGUGGGUAAUGGGUAUACGGAUUGAUUAUUCUCUCUACUUUUGCAUGCGUAUUUUCAAAAGCUGCUGUAUUAUAAAGUUGAAAAAAAGAAAAUGAAUCAAUAUUCAUCACUCAAUACAAUGCUGCCUUUUCUCUGCCAAAGGAUUAUAAUUUACCUGUUCUAAUGGGAGCUUUGAGAUCCAGGUAAUAUCCAGUAGAGUCUUCCUCUGACUUUUGGGAGCAUCUCUCAGAUGUAGAAAGAGUUCUUGUGCAUUUAGGUUACAGAGCUGACACACACCGUGUUCAAUUUCAAAUACUUUGGCUCGCAGGUAAUUGUUAUUAGAUCGAAUCCAAAACUCUUCCUGACACUUCAGAGAGCAAAACCGUGACUCCCAAGCGUUCACUUUGCACUCUUGCUUAGUUUGGCAGGUGGGUUGCUGACAGUGAAGGCAAAGCGGAUUUCCUGCAUUAUCCACAGCUUGCAGAUAGCCUUUGGAUAUAGAAGGCUUCACAGCGAGAUCAGCUUGGGCUAUGCAGGGAUUUAGAAAUGGGACAGAGACUCCAUCAUCAAGGAACUUUCUGGAAGUGAACAAAACAUUGACUAAGUAAUGAACACGUACACUCGUCUAAAUAGUCACUACUUCAUGUAACAGCCUUUAAAGUUUCAAUACUGAUAACCAGUAAAUGUAGGACUCAUGGAUUCUGUGACUGAGUGUGGAAAUGAAACAGCCAUAGUCAGCACUCGAUGCUCCAUGCCAAAUGAAGGAAAGAAUGAUGUGUUAAAAAAAUUCAUUUGAAUAUAAAUAUGCUGCCUCUCUUGGGAGUUUAUAUAUCUUCAAGUUAAACAACCAGACUUUGAAACAUCUGGAGAAGUUGGAAAAUGAGAAGUUAAAAAUGCUUCUUCAAUCUGGGAAAGGACGGGCUAAUGUAAAACCCCACUUGGAGUUGGGGCUACUGUACUCUACAUGUGUUGGGCCACACACCUCACUAGGACACAGAGACCAUUAUGAAGGCUUCCACGACACUCUCGGGGAGCCCCUGUGGGCCUACCGGAAACAGUCACAUCCGUAAAGUGACAGAGCCAAGAAGCUAAUGGUGUUGACAGGAACUGUCAACAUUAGACUUGCUAAAUAUGUGCCUCCUCCAGGACUGUUUGUUAGAAGUGUUAAAAGAAAAACUCUUUGUGAUAGAAAAAGCUCAUGACUGGGAAGCGGAGCCCAGAUUAGACCUUGGGCCUCCUAGCAUCUAAUGGCUUUGGGCAGGUCACUUGGUCCACCUGGUCUCAGGAUCCUUCUAAUUUCUAAGAAGGGUCCUGUGGCCUGGACUCCUUUGUGAUCAGACGAACAUGGCCCCCAUCAUUCUUGACCUUGUCCAGUGAGGCUACAGCAACAUCUUCUUUGCUGAUGUAUCUAAAACAAUUACAUGGUGA